UACGGGGGGGGCAAGCGUUGUUCGGAAUUACUGGGCGUAAAGGGCUCGUAGGCGGCCAACUAAGUCAGACGUGAAAUCCCUCGGCUUAACCGGGGAACUGCGUCUGAUACUGGAUGGCUUGAGUUUGGGAGAGGGAUGCGGAAUUCCAGGUGUAGCGGUGAAAUGCGUAGAUAUCUGGAGGAACACCGGUGGCGAAGGCGGAUCUCUGGGCCAUUACUGACGCUGAGGAGCGAAAGCGUGGGGAGCGAACAGG
rnacentral:rRNA from 1 species